GCGGUCAUGGUGUAGUGGUAUCACACGAGAUUGCCAAUUUCGUAACUCGGGUCCGAAUCCCGGUGACCGCA
rnacentral:tRNA from 3 species